ensembl:lncRNA
GGAAAAUGUAUACAAUUUCAGCUUGUUGACUCCAGACUUAGAGGGCAGAUACCCUAGAUAACAUUCUUUCCUCCAGAACUCCAUGGAAGAACAAACACAGGCCACUUGUAAGUAUCACAUAACUGAGAUCCUGUUCAAUAAAACAAGCACAAACUCUCAGCACGUUGUAGAUUCCCCUCUACAUGUAAGUAGACACAGGAGGAGGACUACAGUACAUUGGCCAUUCAUCAAAGACGGCUAGGUAGAUAAACACCCACAUGCCUAGCAUAGCAGCGUUCCAGACGAUACAGACAGACUGCACGUACACAUCGGCGUUCAAGGUGCGUCUCCUCUAUAAACUUGUGGGGGGGAGAAUAACAGGAAAGAAUCUGGCGCUCUGUGUCAUCCUCUUCUGUCGCCAGUUCAGCGGGUUGACGCAGGUUUUCAGCACGGUGCCACUGGUUUCCAUGUCGCCAGUCAGCAGCACGUCAGUCGGAGGGGGAAAUUUGUGAAAGUGUCCAUGUGCCAGUUCACAGGUUUCCUUUUGGAUACUAGGGCAAGACUGUGUGUUAGCAAAUAGCUUUGGUGCAUGACGUGGGAGAUGGACAAGACGGGAUCUGGAGGUCAUACCGUGCAUUUGUUAUAUCGUGUUGGCCUAAGGUUGUAGGUGUACAUGUUGGCCUAUCAAGCGUUUUGUCGAUACUCCCCAUUUCUCCCUCCACUAGCCUCCACGGAGUUGUAUGAUGGCUGGUGGAUGGAAUGCAUUGUAAAGUCCCCAAGUCAAUAACGGCUCAAUCUGACAUUUUUACUCUUAAAUGUUUUAUGUGAUGUAGGCUACAAUGUGAAAGGCUGAUUGAACUGGCCCAUUUUGGUAUCCUAAUGCAUGAUGGUACACACAAGUUGUUUCCCUUAUUUGUCCUACCUUCAAGCUAGGUAGGUCUUGACAUUCUUAAACAUUUUAAGAUCUCCUUUAUUUAAGGUAUACUGACAGGGAGGCAAACAAGCACUCAGUCACAGCAGCCAUCUUCUUCCUUCCUGAGCUCUUCGAUGUAGAUUCCAGACGUCUCUACAUUAUGGACAAGAUUUCAUCCUCCCUACACCGCUGAUGAAUAUAACUGCAAACCUGUUCGAUCACCAUUCACUGCAAAAUCAUUCUUGCUAUGGAUACGAAGGAUAUCAACAUAUUAACACGCCAGAGAAAAUAUUGACUGAACUUGGAGCUCUGCUGGGAGUUGACCUAAUAUUUAUAUUUUUGAAUUCUGCUUUGCCACUAAAAUCAUAAUAAACAUUGACUACUAAACUAUUG